GGGAACUGCUGGUUUGGAUGGAUUGCCAGGAAAGCCAGGUCAUCCGGGAAAAGACGGACCCAGGGGACUGAUUGGGCCACCUGGCACCGUCGGACCCAAAGGCGAAAAGGGAGAAAGAGGGUUACCAGGGGAUGUGGUUCAUAGAGGGGGCUUGAAAGGAGAGCCUGGAGCCCCUGGACCUAGCGGCCCCCAGGGCCCAAUGGGCCCCGCUGGAGCACCGGGUCCACAAGGUCCUCCAGGACUUCCUGGAGAGCCUGGGGAAUUUGGCCAUAGGGGAAAAAAAGGAGAAAGUGGUCUCCCUGGAGUUGAUGGAUUACCUGGACCACCGG